CAACUCGACUACAUGAAGCUGGAAUCGCUAGUAAUCGCAGAUCAGAAUGCUGCGGUGAAUACGUUCCCGGGUCUUGUACACCACCGCCCGUCACACCAUGGGAGUCGGAAAUGCCCGAAGCCGGUGACCCAACCAAAAGGAGGGAGCCGUCGAAGGCAGGUCUGAUAACUGGGGUGAAGUCGUAACAAGGUACC
rnacentral:rRNA from 1 species